UGGUGGAGCGAUUUGUCUGGUUAAUUCCGAUAACGAACGAGACUCUAGCCUGCUAAAUAGUACACCGAUCUCUAUGUCGGCGCGUACUUCUUAGAGGGACAAGUAGCGGAUAGCUACACGAAAUUGAGCAAUAACA
rnacentral:rRNA from 1 species